rnacentral:rRNA from 1 species
UACGUAGGGUGCGAGCGUUAAUCGGAAUUACUGGGCGUAAAGCGUGCGCAGGCGGUGAUGUAAGACAGGUGUGAAAUCCCCGGGCUUAACCUGGGAAUGGCCGUUGAAACUGGCGAACUGGAGUGUGGCAGAGGGGGGUGGAAUUCCGCGUGUAGCAGUGAAAUGCGUAGAGAUGCGGAGGAACACCGAUGGCGAAGGCAGCCCCCUGGGCUAACACUGACGCUCAGGCACGAAAGCGUGGGGAGCAAACAGG